CAUGCAAGUCGAGCGGUAGCACAAGAGAGCUUGCUCUCUGGGUGACGAGCGGCGGACGGGUGAGUAAUGUCUGGGAAACUGCCUGAUGGAGGGGGAUAACUACUGGAAACGGUAGCUAAUACCGCAUAACGUCUUCGGACCAAAGUGGGGGACCUUCGGGCCUCACGCCAUCAGAUGUGCCCAGAUGGGAUUAGCUAGUAGGUGGGGUAAUGGCUCACCUAGGCGACGAUCCCUAGCUGGUCUGAGAGGAUGACCAGCCACACUGGAACUGAGACACGGUCCAGACUCCUACGGGAGGCAGCAGUGGGGAAUAUUGCACAAUGGGCGCAAGCCUGAUGCAGCCAUGCCGCGUGUGUGAAGAAGGCCUUCGGGUUGUAAAGCACUUUCAGCGAGGAGGAAGGGUUCAGUGUUAAUAGCACUGUGCAUUGACGUUACUCGCAGAAGAAGCACCGGCUAACUCCGUGCCAGCAGCCGCGGUAAUACGGAGGGUGCAAGCGUUAAUCGGAAUUACUGGGCGUAAAGCGCACGCAGGCGGUUUGUUAAGUCAGAUGUGAAAUCCCCGCGCUUAACGUGGGAACUGCAUUUGAAACUGGCAAGCUAGAGUCUUGUAGAGGGGGGUAGAAUUCCAGGUGUAGCGGUGAAAUGCGUAUAUAUCUUGAAGAAUACCGGUUGUGAUAGCCGCCCCCCUGGACAAACCCCUGACACCUAACAUACAAAAUCAAGCCUUUUUAAAA
rnacentral:rRNA from 1 species